GAGACAGCAGCAGCCGCGGUAAUACGAAGGGGGCUAGCGUUGCUCGGAAUUACUGGGCGUAAAGGGAGCGUAGGCGGACAUUUAAGUCAGGGGUGAAAUCCCAGAGCUCAACUCUGGAACUGCCUUUGAUACUGGGUGUCUUGAGUGUGAUAGAGGUAUGUGGAACUCCGAGUGUAGAGGUGAAAUUCGUAGAUAUUCGGAAGAACACCAGUGGCGAAGGCGACAUACUGGAUCAUUACUGACGCUGAGGCUCGAAAGCGUGGGGAGCAAACAGGAUUAGAUACCCGCGUAGUCCCUGUCUCUUAUAC
rnacentral:rRNA from 1 species